CUAAAAUAAAAUAUUAUGAUUAAAAUUAAACCAAAUCCUCAGUUACAUUUAACUUUACAAUGAUUGACUCAUAAAAAUAUUAAAUGUCUAUUAAAACUGUGAAAAUUAUAAAAUUAUUACUAUUUAACAUUGUAUAGAUAUACUUUCUAAAAACACUGUUCAAGAUAGUGACUUUAAAAGAUAAUAGGGUGCUAUUGUGGGUAGCAAGUUCACUACAAAACGCAUUUGUCCUAGGAAAAUUCACAGAAUAUUUCAUAUUUUUAAAAUGCAAAAAUUAAAACCUAUUGUUAACUAACAUUAUUACCUUUAACAUAGAAAUUAUGAACAACUCAAAAUUAAUAAAGAAUGUUACUAAACAUUUGACUAUUAAGUCAAAUGUUAUGAAAUUUUAGUUUUGUGUGGGUUUUUUUCGGUAGUGGGGAUCGAACUCAUGACCUCACACUUGUCAGGCAGGCGCUUAUGCUGCUAAGCUAAAUCUCUGGCCCCUAAAAUAUUAAUAUUGACCAAAAAUAGAAAAUUUUUAAUGUUUUCAGAAAUGCCAUAACUAUUUUAUGAUUAUAGUAAAAUGUGUUUUAUGAGAAUUUAUUAAUGCUUAAGGAAAAGCAUGAGUAUGACAAUACAGGGAGAUGUUAAUAUUUCCUACAUAUAUAAUCUGCUCAUAUAUGGCUUGAGGCCAAAGCCUUGGUAAUUUGUAUUAUUAUGGAUAUUAAACAUGUAUCUGCCAGUCAUACUGGAAUUUUGUUGUUGAUCACAUGUACACCACAGGUUAGCUACAUUGUUACCCUUUCCCAGGAACGGAAAACAGUAAAAAAGAAAUUUCUGAUUUGUAAUUUCAAUUUGGUUAUCUAUUGAAUAUCUCAAAAUUAUAGUAACUUUUCUAAUAGCAAGUUUUUGUCUUACUUUUAAAAAAGAUGCACCACUGAUAUGGUUACCAGAAAGAGCAAGAAUUUUAAAAUGUCAAUAAAAUGUCUUUACCUAAUGGUUUUGUCACUUAUAGCUGUGGUCUGAUACAAAUUAAUCUGUUAGACUCAGUUUCCUAAACUAUAAAAUGGAGAGAAUGCAUACUACUUGCCUUAAUAAAAUGUAUUACUGUAUGCAGUGUUUAUCUACUAUGUCUGGGAUAAGUAGGUACUGGAUUAAUUCAUUCAUUCAAGCAACUUUUAUUGUGUUUCUUUGAUGCACCAGUUAUCACAUGUAUUUCUGGAAAACAUGAAUAAAACACAAAGACCCUUACUUAUAUCAAGAGCGUUAGCUGGGGAAAAAAGUGUGUGUGGGGGGGGGUAGCUGUGUAGUGGUACCAUCUUCUUAUCCGCUGCUACUUUUUCUUAGAAAAAUAUGCUUUGAAAAACAAUUAGCAGACUAACUAUAGGUACAAAUAUUUUUGAUGAGGGAUGGGGAUGUAGAUCAGUAGUAUAAUACUUGCCUAAAGUGUGAGGCUCUGGGUUUGAUCCCCAGCACCAAAAAAUGUGCAAACACACACACACACACACACACACACACACACACACGAUUUUUUUCCAAUGAAAUUAAUUUGUUUUUUCAUUUGACUUCAUAGUAAAGUGUGUCUUUCUCAUAUAUCCAAGAGAAGGAGAGCAAGAGGAUGACAAUAAUGCCUACAUUCUAGCACGGUUUCUAGAAUUAAAGGAGUAACAUAUGUAAAACAUGUGGAUCACUCUAAAGUAUAUCUUCCCAUUUAAUUAUUUUAUUUCCACUGUAAUUAUUUCCACUAACAUCCUAAUGCUAAUUUAGAUCCACAAUAAAAUGGCACAAAGAAGAGCCAUGGAGAUACAGUGCUGAAAAAAAAUAAAGCCAUGAGAAAAAGCUAAGGAAAAUGAGUGGGAUUUUCAUGCAUUUGGAGAAGUGUCAGGAAACCUGUAGGAGGAGGAAGACCUGAGACUGGUACAGCCUGGUCUCUUCUGAGCUAAAAGGAAGGAGACACUGAGAGGCUCUGUGACGUGGAGACUCUGCUGGGGGAAUGUGUAAUAUUGUAGCUGCACAAAAUAUAACUGAAGAGGACUGUGACCUGUAAGGGGUUAUAUGUUUUUUUUUGUCUUUUUUAAGGGGUUAUAUGUUAAAAGGCAAUUUUUAGAAGCUUUUGUGUGGGGACACGGGGAUAGUUUUAAAAAAUUAAGGAGCUUUACCCCAGGAAAAUGCACAUCUUACAGUUUUGCAUACAAUUGCAGAAAGACCCUAGAUCUGAGAUCAAAAAUCCAUGAAAAGAACAUAAACUUCAUGGAAAAGAUAGUGUGGAAAGAUUUACUUAAACUGCAGCAUUAAGAUUCUGGGUUUAACAGGAAAUCUUACUUGUUAAAUAAACUAUUAAAUGUCACAAUAGGAUGCCAAUGGUGUCACAUCCUUUUAGGAGUGAAAAAAUUUCGCAUUUUUCUGGAAGUGUUGUAGUAUCUUUUUUUAAAAAUUGUAUUUAAAGAAAGACUAAACAAAACAAAUGGGUAGAAAUAAUACAUACUUUCAAAGAAAAAAAUAAACAGUAAGAAAUCACGAGUUUAUGAUUACAGGUUGUCCUCUUACAAAUAGUUAUUCAAGAUACUAAAGUAGAGCAUAUAAAGUGGGGAUUCAAACAGUGAGACUGCAACCAGUUCUGUUCAACUAACCAUCAAAAACUUAGAAAUAUGGUUAUCAAUCUAUUACACUUAAGCAUACAAGCAGUUAUCCAUAUCUUCAAUUAUGUUGAGAUUGAACAAACCCAAGCAGGCUAAUAUCACUCUGAACAAAAAAUAAUACUAUUGCUGGGUUUCACAUUAUGACACUCCAGGAUCAGCACUGGGUACUUUAGUGUCUCUUUUUCUUCAAAGCAUCUGUUUAUUUCAUCAUGUGUCAUAAGAUCAGUUCCCAUAAACUGUUUAUAGAUUCUACACAUGCAUGAAUCUUAACAUGUAUUUCUAUACUUUCUAUAUGAGAGGGAGAAACAAAACAAAGCAAGACAAAACAAAACAUAUUCCUAUAAACACAUAAAUGAUAAAGACAUAUAAGACCAUUGUAUAAGGAGUUCUACCAUAGUUCCUGUGUUGUCCCUUGUUAUCUCCAAUAGAACUGGCAAUAUCAUCAGACAUAGUAUAACUGAAUAUGUCAGUACAUAACAGUAUUAAUAAAAUACAACUUUUUAUAUAGUGUAGAACUUCAAAAACAGGCAGUUAUCAAACCGGAUUGUAUACUGGAUUGUCGUCUUCAGUGUAGUUGCCUGUACUCUCAGACUUGAUAUUAUCAAUCAUAUCAGUUUUGAAUAAAAUAUGUCAAUACCAAACAGCAAUCAAACAAACCACAUUUAACUAAAGUCAGUCAUGAUAAAACAGUGUAAGUCAUACAGGGCUCCAGAUUAAGAUAAUAGGAAAUUAAAGAUGAUUACUGUGCUAUAUCCUGAUGUUUUUGGGAUAGCUGUCUGUGCCCUCAAAUCUAAUGCAAGUAGACAAACUGGGACAGAAUAAAAUCUAUCUAAGCAGAGUGGUGCAAGUAAUGUGGGUUUUAAAUCCUGAUACACUAUUAACAGUAUCUUCUGCCAUCUUUUUUAAGACUCUCCCUCCCCUUUCACUUCCCCAGGGUACACUGUACAUUUUUGGGUCUCACCAAGACCCUUGGUUUUAAAUUGGGUGGGUGGGGGCAACCUGCUAUUUACCUAAGUGGUUUUGAACCUUCUCUCUCCUGGACUUGAUCUCUAAUUGUAUUCCUUUACCUAUUAAAGCCUGUCUUUCCAACCUAUCCACAAAUACUGGUCUAGUUGCCCCUAUUACUCUCUGGUUCUCUGUCACAUAGAGUAUUGUUUUCUCAUAUUUGAUUUUCAGUCCAUGUACUCUUUUUCAUGUUAAUUAUAUUUCCUGUAAAUAGCAUCUCGGUGGACCCUGCCUCCUGAUCUACUCCAUGCGUGGUUUUUUUUUUAAUUUAGUGUAUCAAGGCCAUCUGUAUUAGAAAUUAUAACCAACCUUCUCUGCCUCAUUUCUGUAUGCUCUUUUUUUGCCAUCAGUUGUCUACUUAUCUUCUUCAUUCUGUUUUCUGCUCCAUUCACUGAGGCUGCUCUGCCACUCUUCCUGGAAUCCUAAUAGUUUUCUCUCUCUCUAGAAUGCCCUGCAGUAUUCUCUGUAGAGUUGGACUGGUGGGUGCGAAUUUCCCAAGUUCCUCUUUGUCUUGGAAGAAUCUUGUUUCUCCAUUAAUUUCUAGAGACAGUUUAUCAGGGUAUAUCAAUUUGGGCUGGAGGUUAUUUUCUUUCAGGGCUUGGAAUAUUUCACUCCAGGCUCUUCUUGACUUGAUGGUUUGUGUCAAGAAGUCUGCCGUUAUUCUGAUCGGCUUUUAUAGAUUAUCUGUUUCUUAUUUCUAACAGCUUUUAAGAUUCUGAUCUUAUAUUGAAUUUCUGGUAUCUUGGAAUAUUAUAUGCCUGGGUGAGGCUCUGUUUUGGUUGUAGGUGGAUGGAGUUCUCUAUGCCUCAAAUAUCUUCAUAUCAUUUCCUUUUCUUAUGUUUAGGAAGUUUUCCGUAAUUAUUUCUGGGAAGAGCCUUUGUAGUUCCUUUGUUUGUACCCCUGCUUCUUCAUUAACAUUCUUUAUUCUCAAGUUAUAGAUCCUCUUGUUGUCUUCCAGCCUUUGUAUUGUUACUGCUUGUUUCCUUGUUAUUUUAAAAAAGUUUUUCCUUUCAUAAUUCCACACUGCAAACCUGUCCUCCAGUUUGGAUAAUCUAUCUUUAGUUUCUUUCAAGCAGAUCUGCCAUCUUUCCAUAGAGUUUUUAAUUUCCUGGUAAUCUCUUUGAAUCUGUUUCAUGUAUUCUAUAUUUACUUUAUAUGCUUCAUCAAAUGGUUCUCUCAUUUGUUUGAGUUCCUCCCUUCUUCUGUCUGUGUCUCCUUGAGGGGGGCUUAGCAUCUCUUUUAUUAAUCUUAUACCUUGCUUUACUUGGCUAAAUAUUUCCCUUUUGAACUCGUCUAUGAGGUCCUGAAUAUAUCUCUUUAUGUCCACUGGUGCUGUGUCUGAUAUUGCAUGUUUGCUGUUCUCAUUCUCCUUUGUAUUUACCUGUCCUGGGUCAAUGUUCUCAAGAUUGGAACCUGGGGACUUUUUGUUGUUGCUUCCUCUUCCCAUCUUUUUGCUUCUUCCAAGAGGCCCCAGUUUCUAUCUUUGUUGGUUACAAUUCUUCUGAAGCAUGCUGGCUAAGUGACCCUUCCCACUGCAGUGUGCUAGUGAGUUGCAAACAGGGGCAGCAUAUGCUGGCCCCUCCCCUAUAGAUCAGUCACACUGCUGAGGCCUGUACUAUAUUAUUGUGGGUUGCCUCUCCUCUGGGUCAGUCAAAUUUCUGAGGCUUCACUGCGUUGGUGUGUACUGCUGUAGGGAACUGAUUUCAGAUAACCUAUUGGGUCUCAGCCAGGUCGUGUGACCCAGGCCUAACUCACUCCACCAAUCCUGUUUGGGAAGGGAACAAAUGGCUGAAGUCACUGCUGCCCUUUGUACUUGCCAGUCCUGCCCGGUCCAAGAAUGUUGUCUGCCAUUCUGUGGAAUGGCCCCACUCCCAUCACUCACCACAGUUUGAUGCAGGCUCCCUGCCAGCUCAGCUCUCUGUUUGGCUGGAUGACCCCUGACCUCAGUGUGACUGCACCUCGAGUGAGUCAAAGCAGUGGACCUUGGAUGGCUUGGCAAGUCACCCACUGCAGUGGGAGCACUGAAACUUUAACUGUUCCAAUAGUAGCACUGGGACUGUAUGUUUGAUUGGUUCUUCUCAUCUUAGUUUCUUCUUGGGACGAGUGAAUUCAUCUCCCUCAGCUUGGGGCUCCCCAUGCUGUAUUAUGUUGAAUUCUAAGUUGAUUAUCUCAGGGAGCCUCUGUAGCCAGCUGUUAUCUAUCCGCCAUCUUUGCUUUGCCUCCUAAAAAUCUCUGGAACUGUUUAACAUAGAAUUUGGACAACAACUCAUUGUUCCCUCAAAUUGUAAUGUGCUAAAUGUGUAAUAUGUCUUAUUGACUUGAUUGUGGGCACCCACAAUGACAUUAAAUCUAUAUUUCUCUGAAUAGUUCUCUACUUGCCUCUGUAUCAUUUAGGAAAGUUUUAGGACUUUCUUAAUUGUGGUAUCAAACACAAUUAUUCUCUAUUAGAAUAACACACUGCUUUCAAAAAACACAGACCACAGUUCUCUAAUGUUAAUUUAUGUAGAAAUCACAUAUACGUACUCCUGUACUAAAACUUCAGGCAAACUAUUAAAUGUAUGUGAAAAAGAUGAAAUAUAAUUAGAUAUUUUGAAAUGUUUUUCCCAAAUCAUCACACUGCAUACCAUUGGGAUUUAUGUACUCUGAAGAACCACUCUAUACAUCUUUCCUUAGCCAUCUUUCUGCUCACAGAAAAAGAAUGAGCAUUACCAGAAAAUUCCUGUAGUUUUUCCACUGAAAAUGAGGGAUAUUUGAAGCCAUUUUCACUAAAAAAGUAUCAAGAGUCACGUGAUAAUCAGGAAUAUGGGCAAUUCCUUUACCUUUUAAUCUUUCCCUCCUUCAUAAGUAUGAGUAAAUAACUGGAUUUCUACAACAACCAAAUGGGAUAUAUUAUUAUAGGUCCAUAGUCUCUUUUUUUUUUAUUUAAGGAGAAAAAGGAAAAAAAACCAAAAAGGGUAUAAGUAAUAUAAAAUUUAAAAAAUAAACAGUAAGAAAUCACUAGUUAAUAGAUUACAUAUUCUCAUCUUAGAAAUAGUUGUUCAGUGUUGGGAGCCGUGGCACUGUCAAGUCAUCAGACGCGGUGAUUGCGAGGCCUGUGGGAAAGUACAAAAGCCUGAGCUGGAUUACCCCUCUCAUCGAGCCCGCCUGUGUGGCACCUGUUUCUUAUCACCCCACUAAGUUCCCGCCUCACAGGGUAGUCUGCCUAGCUAUUAAUCCUAUAUAUAGCCAGUGCCUCCACCCCCGAGAGAGGGACUGAAGCACGAAAGGAGCCGCGGGGAGCGGACCAGAGGAGGCUUCGGAGCGAAGCACAAAAGGAGCCGCGGGGAGCGGACCGGUAGAGGCUUCGGGGCAGGCUGUACGGAGAAGGAAAAUAAAAGAAAAGGUUGUCCACCGCCAGACUUUGUCGUGUGUCCUUCCUGCCGGCCGGGAGCUGGGACACCGACAUUUGGAGGCCCGCACGGGGACUGAUCACCCCCGAGACGUGAAGUGGACAACGCUCCAGUACAGUGCUGCAAGACAGGUGAGUAGAGGAUAAGCCUGGGCCCUGGGUGGCGCGCACCUACAGGGUUUGUAGACUCCUCUCAACCUCACGCGUAAGUGGCGGGUUUCUUGGGCCUCACGCGGUGAGUAUGAAACAUAACACCAGAACUUAAGGUAAUAAAAGAGUGUAAAACAUAAACAUACAAGUAAAAAUAACAGAAGAUAUAUUAAAAAUGGGAAACAUGCCAAGUAAAGAUACACAGCCUUGGUGUUGGUCCUUCGGAGACUCCUAAAGUCCAAGGACCUCAAGGUGGGGCGUAAGACUUUAGAAAAUUUCCUUGCAGAGAUUGACAGCUUUGCUCCCUGGUUUCUGCCUACAGGGCAUGUAAACCUGCCCUCCUGGGAGAAGUUGGGCAGAGACCUUUCCCUAGCAGAACGGGAGGGUAGAGCUUCAGUCUCUGCUCGUCCGUUGUGGGAAAUGAUACACACGUGCCUAAAGAGUGAGGGUAGUUACGGGGGGAGCUCUCAAGAACUUGUAGAAGUAUGCGAGGUGUUUGAACAGGCACAGUCAGGAAGCUCCCGAGAAGGGUCCGUCAAGGAGGGCAGAGAUACAAAAGAGGAAGCCGAGGCGCGGUUUGUGUCUUUCUGCAGGAACCGGGACGAAAACCACUGUUGGUCCCAGAGAGGUUGACGCGACAAAGCCCUCGACUGAAGAUCAGACCUGCCCUGCCGGAGAUCCAUCACAGACCAACCAACAAGAUGAAUAGAAAUAGCGGUAGCCCAAAAUGGACAAAAAGAUCCUCAGGCAUACGCAUGGCUCGCUCGCAUGGCCUACGACCGCGUUUAAAAGUGACAGGCUUCCCACAUUCUCCUCCCUAGACAACAACAUGUAGCAGGGUGGAUGAGUCAAUGACGGGUAAGAGCGUGCCUCCCCAGCACGACUCAACCUAAGCCAGGCCCUACCCCGUUCCGCUCGAAAGCCGCUGGAUUGUUAGAUAAAUUUCUCUCCGAGGGGAUUCGUGGAGAGAAAUGAGUGCAUGCCUAUGUGCAACCAGGUUCCGUCCGGUUCAUUCCUGGCCCUAGAAAAAAGGACGAGGGCCUCGGGGCCUCGGCAGACUCGGGGACGGCCGACCCGGGCCGACGCCGAGAGCCCUUGGUGGGCCUCCUAUCAGGGCAUAGGCCUCUGCACUCUAUCCAGGACGGGCUGCGAUGCGCGUAUUCAUUUAAAAUAAAAUAGGGGGAGAUGUUGGGAGCCGUGGCACUGUCAAGUCAUCAGACGCGGUGAUUGCGAGGCCUGUGGGAAAGUACAAAAGCCUGAGCUGGAUUACCCCUCUCAUCGAGCCCGCCUGUGUGGCACCUGUUUCUUAUCACCCCACUAAGUUCCCGCCUCACAGGGUAGUCUGCCUAGCUAUUAAUCCUAUAUAUAGCCAGUGCCUCCACCCCCGAGAGAGGGACUGAAGCACGAAAGGAGCCGCGGGGAGCGGACCAGAGGAGGCUUCGGAGCGAAGCACAAAAGGAGCCGCGGGGAGCGGACCGGUAGAGGCUUCGGGGCAGGCUGUACGGAGAAGGAAAAUAAAAGAAAAGGUUGUCCACCGCCAGACUUUGUCGUGUGUCCUUCCUGCCGGCCGGGAGCUGGGACACCGACAGUUCAGGUUACAAAAUUGAAGCACCUAAAGUGGACUUUCCAACAGUGAGAGUGCAAACAGUUUUGUUCAAUGUUCUCACAGUUUUUCUAGAACACCUGCCUGAUCAUAGUGGAAGAAUAUAUUAACAAUUUAUGAGGAGUAUAAACAUUACUGGACAGAGUUGAGAGGAACGACACUUUUCUUUUAUACUGACAAAAAAAGUACAACAUAUGUUGACAAAUUGGACAUACUAAACUUCACUCGCCUUACCGAACAGAAUUCUGUUGAA